UCUAAAUUUUUAUUUUUUUUUUUUGUUGGUGGAAUCUAAAUUUUUAUUCAUAUACAUGCAUUCACACACAUUAUAUUAUUCUUUUUUUAUUUUUGCUUUUUAAUUUCUAACUAAAAAAUUGCGGGACUUGAGAGUCGGAGAUGGCACUCAAGCCUAAGAUGGGAAAGAGUUGUGGUAAGCAUUUUUUUUUUUUUUUUAAAUGCAAUGCUUGUUGGCGUAAAUUUUCUGUAACUCGGCUAAUUUAAAUCUAAGUAAUUCAGGUGUAUUGCUUUCAGACUAAAUGAUUUCUUCCGUUUUGUGGGAAAUAGCAUUCUUUUAAACUAGGAUAUCACUUCUUGAAAGAUUCAUUUUAUUUUGCUGAAAAUAUGGACCAGGGACUACAAUGGAACAAUAUAGAAUCAGCAAGCAAAGAGAUCCCUUCUACUAUGUUGUUAGAGCCUUGACAUAUAUUCCUAGGGGCCAGCCGUCCUCACUUUUUACUAUUGACUAAAAGAUCUGGCAAAGAUAACGGUGAUGAUGAUGAUUAAGGUUUUUUUGAAUUUCUUAAAGAUAUUUUCAUGCUUCAGUUAAACAGUAU
rnacentral:misc_RNA from 1 species